rnacentral:rRNA from 1 species
GUAGGUGGCAAGCGUUGUCCGGAAUUAUUGGGCGUAAAGCGCGCGCAGGCGGGGUCCUUUAAGUCUGAUGUGAAAGCCCACGGGCUCAACCGUGGAGGGUCAUUGGAGACUGGGGGACUUGAGUACAGAAGAGGAAAGCGGAAUUCCAAGUGUAGCGGUGAAAUGCGUAGAGAUUUGGAGGAACACCAGUGGCGAAGGCGGCUUUCUGGUCUGUAACUGACGCUGAGGCGCGAAAGCGUGGGGAGCAAACAGGAUUAGAUACCCUGGUAGUCCACGCCGUAAACGAUGAGUGCUAAGUGUUAGGGGGUUUCCGCCCCUUAGUGCUGCAGCUAACGCAUUAGCACUCCGCCUGGGGAGUACGGCCGCAAGGCUG